CUGCAGAAGGGCUCGGGUUCCUUUGGCCCGUGCGCACCUUCCCGGGCCUGGGGCUGAGACCCCCCCCUCAUCCAGGCCCUAGCAUUCACACUGGGGUGAUACACGGGGCCCAGCACCCGGCCCGACCCGCACUACCUUCUACUCGGAACUGGCAAGUUUACAGUGCAGCCCCUAUACGCGAUCUAGAACUUGGCAAGACAUGAAUGACUCCAAACGCCGAUUCAAAAUGGGUUUUGGCCCAUUGGCUGCUUUCUUAAGAAUCCUUCCAGGCUGCGUAGUAACGACAGUUGUGUGGGGCGCCUUUGAAGCCUGGCUGCAGCCUCCCACUUCCGCAACCCCAGAUCGAGGAUGUGCGGCAGGAAGAAAUACCUCAAGUCAGUCUGCUGGACGAGUUUGCCUCAUGAGUACUCAAAGCUGGCCCAGACCUCCAGGCUCUCCCAGCUUCCCAUGAAUCCCCCAGCCUUGCCAUUUCUGUUCCUCCA